GUCCACGCCCUAAACGUUGAAUACUCGGUCUUGGCGAUAUACAGUCAGGGCCCAAGCGAAAGCGUUAAGUAUUCCACCUGGGAAGUACGUUCGCAAGAAUGAAACUCAAAGGAAUUGACGGGGCCCGCACAAGCGGAGGAGCAUGUGGUUUAAUUCGAUGAUACGCGAGAACCUUACCUGGGCUUGAAUGUGAGUGACCGGUGCCGAAAGGUACUUUUCCCGCAAGGGGACACAAAACAAGGUGCUGCAUGGCUGUCGU
rnacentral:rRNA from 1 species